AAAAAUGUAAAUUUUCAUAUUAAGUGAUUAUAAGUUAAGUUCUUUAAAGUUAAAUGAUUUGGCGGUAUUUUAGUCUUUUCAGAGGAACCUGUUCAGUAAAUGAUAAUCCACGUUAUAUUCUUCUUUAUUUAGAAAUUUUUAUAUCGUCGUUAUUAAAUAUUUUAUAAGAAAAUUAAUAUUUAAAAUUUUUAAUUAAAAAUUAAUUCAGAUCAAGGUGAAGUUUAUAGUAAAGUUGAAAUGGGUUACAAUAUAAAAAUAUUUGGAUUUUUAAUUUAAAAUUAAAAUGAAAAUGGAUUUGAAAGUAAUUAAUAUAAAAUUUUUAUUAAUGAUUUAGCUCUAAAAUGUGC
rnacentral:rRNA from 1 species